UACGUAGGGUGCGAGCGUUGUCCGGAAUUACUGGGCGUAAAGAGCUCGUAGGUGGUUUGUCGCGUUGUCCGUGAAAACUCACAGCUUAACUGUGGGCGUGCGGGCGAUACGGGCAGACUGGAGUACUGCAGGGGAGACUGGAAUUCCUGGUGUAGCGGUGGAAUGCGCAGAUAUCAGGAGGAACACCGGUGGCGAAGGCGGUUCUCUGGGCAUGUCCUGACGCUGAGGAGCGAAAGUGUGGGGAGCGAACAGG
rnacentral:rRNA from 1 species